GCCGCAGCCAUCUUUGUUGAGGGCUUUCCUGUUUCCUGAAGUUGCCGCGUUCGAAAAACCGGAGUCAGUUGAGGGUGUUGUUACAGGGUGCGCAUUUGACAUCCCAGGCCAUUUGAACGCGUAUAUAGGUGAAUAUUGCAACCCAACAAGACAGACACAGACUUCAGAGGAUAAUUAGAACUGCAGAAAAAACAAUGGCUACCAACCUGCCUUCCAUUGAGGACCUGUAUACUGCACGAGUCAAAAAGAGGGCUGUGAAAAUAUUUACAGACCUCUCGCAUCCUGGACAUAAACUGUUUCAACUCCUACCCUCAAAACGACGCUAUAGAGCACUGCACACCAGAACAACUAAACACAAGGACAGUUUUUUCCUAAACGCCAUCACUCAACAAAUAAUUCCCUCAACACUGUCAAACUAUUCACUAAGUCUGCAUUACUAUUACUAUUAGUCUUCUCAUCGUUUCUAUCACCCAUCUCCUCCCACUUAUGACUGUAUGACUGUAACCUUAUUGCUGGUAUCCUUAAGAUUUAUAUUGACUGUUUUCUAAUACGAUUUGAUUGCUUAUUUGUUCCCUAUGACUAUCAUUAAGAGUUGUAUCUUAUGAUUCAUGACGAAUGUAUCUUUUAUUUUAUAUAAAGAGCCCUGGUGGCGCAGCAGACUAAAGCACUGUUAUUAACAUCAGCUGCCUGCAAUUACUGCAAGUUCAAAUCUCACUAGGUUCAAGGUUGACUCAGCCUUCCAUCCUUUCUAAGGUAGGUAAAAUGAGGACCCGGAUUGUGGGGGCAAUCAGCUGACUUUGUAUAAAAUAUACAAAAGUAUGAAGGCUAUUGCUUAACGCAUUGUAAGCCGUCCUGAGUCUCCGGAGAAGGGCGGCAUAUAAAUCAAAUAAAAAAAAAGUACACUGACAGUAUAUGCACCAAGAAAAAUUCCUUGUGUGUCCAAUCACACUUGGCCAAUAAAGAAUUCUAUUCUAUUCUAUUCUAUUCUAUUCUAUUCUAUUCUAUUCUAUUCUAUUCUAUUCUAUUCUAUUCUAUUCUAUAUUAAAAGGUAGACUUCAAAUCUCAUUAGCAGAAUAUGAGUAUCAGGGCUAACAUAGUAGGCCAGGGCUGGAAAAAGAAAUAGGUAGAGCUAAGAUCAAAAUGAAAUGAUCUGAAGAAAGAUAAAAUCCUUGGAGUUCAGCUUCUGGUGGUUUCCCAUUCAGAUACUAUUAAGGUUUAAUUCUACUUAGCUUUUUUGCUAAGUAGCCAAAAUUGUCUGGAUGCUGCCUUUUGUUAUGAUGAGUUUGACUUGAAUUUCAUCUGAUUAGGAUUAAUGCGUUGUAUUUAAUGUCAUAUGAACCUUAUAACUUGAUACCAACUUUUAGAAAGGCCCCAGGUUGCCUGCAUAAGCCAUAGUGCACAAUGUGAACCAAUUCUGCAAUAUGUGGACUCCUUCAAUUGAAGCUUAUGCAAGCUAUGGUGAAACAACCAACUUUAAAUGCGGAUGAUACAGUCUUGCAAGUCUUUUUUCUAAAAACAGUGAGCUAUUUUCUCUUUUAUUAGUUCUCUUUUCAUAAACAUUUUCUCAGCCUAUUUAGCACUAUGAGAAGAGUCCAGUAUGAGAAAUGUAAAGUCUGCAGCGCUACAUAAAGUAAUGCAUUGCUGUUCAGUUGGCUGUUGAGUGUUUGAUUCUCCUUCCUGUCUGGUAAACUGUCCAGGUUUUAAUGAUUACUCUCCUUCUAUUGUGCCCUGGAGUGUGUAAUCAAUUUCAGACAAGGAGUAGGAACAAUGCAAGUGGUUCAGAUACAGAUAGAUGGGCAAUAGAGAUGAAACCACUCAAUCUUUGGACUGGACCACCCAUGAUACUUUUGGCUUGGUGGAUUCACUUCUGGAAAGUCACAGAAUUACUCCUGAAAGGGUUGUCUGGAGGAGGGCAGAUUGGCAGUCUGGGGGAAGAAUGGAAGUUUUUGGACACAUCUGCCAAACAAAAGGCAAUAUCAGUAACUUUCCAUCACUGAUUCUAUACCCAAAGCCACCAAUCCUGAACCAGAGUUCUAACUAGCAACAUAUGGAAUGCUGGCUGACAUUUUCAGAUAGAAAGCCACAAGGUAGAAAGAUGGAGAAAUGGUAGUUGUGUUGGGUAACAUUUAGCAUGAGACUCCCUUGGUUUUCAGAAUCAGAGCUGACUUGCUUUGAAGCUUGAACCAGAGCUGAAAGCUUUGAAAGCUUUCUUGGAAACCUUGACCCUGAAGACGCCGACCCCUUUGCCCUUUGAACUUUGACUGCUGGUAAUAAAUGCUUCGUCUCCUAGGAACAGAAUAGCUUUGUACAACAGGAUAUUGCUGUUGCUGGUUCUCAGUAUUGAAGUCCAUGUAUGGGUUUUUUUGAAUUUUGAUGAGCCAAGAUUGGACUCUUAUUGUAUCUUCACCAUUCAUUUUAGCAUAUUGUGCCAACCCAGCUCAUUGUUCGGUUUAUAGUCAUGAUCUUUCUUCCCACUAUUGUAAUUAUUAUUAUUAUUAUUAUUAUUAUUAUUAUUAUUAUUAUUAUUAUUAUUAUUAUUAUGGGACGUCACACAAUCAGCCAGAUGUUCAAACUGGAUUUGGCAUUUUUGUCUGCCUAUAAAGUUCUUCUCAAGGACCUGGGAUAGGCAGAUAUGGAUGUUUGAUGGUAUUGCAGAUAUUGUCGCACGAUGUCAGCUGUUUCAAGUAAAGCUGGUUUUUGCAAUUGACUGAUGGUGAAUUUGUCAAUGCUGACAUGGUGUUCAAGUGUGCUUCAAUGAUUUGGAGAUUGCACCCAAGGAACUAUUAUUAGUGGUACUAUUUGCCACCUAUCUCAUGGGCUACUUUUUUAUUGUAAAUAAAAACAAUAAAAUGAUAAAAAAAUACUGUUCUUGGUAUGUACACUGUAUGUACUUUAUAUUUGUUAUUGAUUUGUUUUCUAUUGAGUUUUAAUUUUAUGUUAGCUACCCAGAGUCACUGCUGAGAUGGGUAGCUAUAUAAAUUGAUUAAAAUAAAUGACUACAUGAA